rnacentral:rRNA from 1 species
AGCUCCAAUAGCGUCUAUUAAAGUUGUUGUGUUUACACAGCUCGUAGUUGGAUUUCGGCUUGUAGUGGUUUGUUUUCCUUGAUUCAACACUGACUUUUUUACCCGUGUGUUUUGCCAGAAUCUUACGGGUGAUCUUUACCGAUUGUCCGUUGGAACUGGCAGGUUUACUUUGAAAAAAUUAGAGUGCUCAAAGCAAGCUUACUGCUUGAAUAGUUGCGCAUGGAAUAAUAGAAUAGGAAGUCGUUUCUAUUUUGUUGGUUUUCGGAAAUCGACUUAAUGAUUAAUAGGGAUAGUCGGGGGCAUUCGUAUUCAAACGACAGAGGUGAAAUUCUUGGACCGUUUGAAGACGAACUAAGGCGAAAGCAUUUGCCAAGAAUGUUUUCA